rnacentral:lncRNA from 1 species
AGAAUUGCCUGAGUCUUUAAGAAAUUGCACCAACCUUGGUUUUGUCGAUUUUGGUUUGAACGGCCUAUCUGGAACUGUGCCGGCAUGGAUUGGGCAAGAUCUACCGCAGUUGUAUGGUCUAGUUUUGAAAUCCAACAAAUUUUAUGGGAGCCUGCCUGAUGAUCUGUGUCAUCUCUCAGAUCUUCAUUUUCUAGACCUGUCCAUGAACAGACUUUCAGGAAAUGUCCCUCAAUGCUUCAGCAGUCUGAUUGCUAUGACUAAUCAUAGAACUAAAACAACAGAUCAUCACAAAGCAUCUCUAUAUCGUAGAAAAUGUUCAGAAAUAACCUAUUGUACGAGCAAUAUUGAUGAUGGUGUUUCAUUUCUGGAUGAAGCAUUGGCAGGUUGGAAAGGAAAGGAACGAGAAUACAGGGGAAAUUUCCCUUACCUUAAGAUGAUAGAUCUUUCCAGCAACAAAUUUACUGGAGGAUUUCCUGCUGGAAUAACAAGGCUUGUCGAUCUCAAAGGAUUGAACCUCUCGAGGAAUCAGUUUGAUGGAAAAGUUCCGGUACAAAUUGGUAGACUACUUCAAUUGGAAGUUCUUGAUCUGUCUGGUAACAAAUUUUCAGGUGAUAUCCCUCGAAAUAUGUCUGAUUUAACCUUUCUUGCUUAUUUAGAUCUCUCGACCAAUAACUUAUCUGGAAGAAUCCCAUUAGAAGUUCAACUCCAGACAUUCAAUUCUUCAAUGUAUGAGGGGAAUCCUGGACUCUGUGGCUUGCCACUCACAAAAAGAUGUCCUGGAGAUAAAACAAGUGUCAAAGUCCCCCCACCAUCUACUGGAAAUGAAGUUGAUGAAGACGAGAUUUUAUAUGAGAGAUGGUUAUAUAUAAGUGCAGCUCUUGGUUUCAGCACUAGUUUUUGGGGAAUAUGUGUAACUCUACUUGUUAACAGGCGCUGGAGACAUGCAUAUUUCCUGUUCUUGACGAACUUAAAGGAUCAGUUUUAUGUGUUCAUGGUAGUGCGCAUUGCCAGAUUGAAGGUAAGGCUCCAAGGUUGACUUGAAGGUAAUAUAGACACUUCUUUGCUCUGAUUAUUUUUUUUUAUUUAAGACCAGCAAAGUAUUCACUACGAAAAGGCCAUUUUCUUUAACUUGUGUUAACCAUCUUGUGCAUUUUUUUUUGUAACUACUUGAUUCUCUUUGAAGCUAAUCGAAGCUUUAUAUCUGUAUUUGCUUUCACAGGUCACCCAGCAAGAGGAAAGGCCAUGUUUCAGCCUGGAGUUUAUCUGUCGAGUUUGAUUCAUCAAUCUCGUUAUUGCAGUUAGUAGAGUACAAAUAUUGGCAAGAUAUUGCCAUUUGGUUGUGAUCUUAGAGAUGGCUUCUGCAUCUCAUUCAUUGGAUUGGAGUGAAACAUGAAGAAUAAGUCUGCAUAGGAUUUUAUUUAGAUAUUAACGCAGUAAUCUGUGAGUGUGUUUGGGACAAGUACUGCACUGUGUUAUUCAUCAGCUAAAAGCGAUUGUGAUUUGUGCAUAUAUUGUGCCUGUUUUGGCAACCCCAUAAAAAAGCACCUAUUUUUCAAAACAAAUUAUAUUUUUUUUGUUUGGGAUAUUGAUAUUAAUGUGAUAUUUCGUAUUCGUUAUUUGAUAAAAAAAUUAAUGAUUUAUUUUAAGAAAAUAGAUGUUUAUAUAAUUUUCUCUAGAAAUAAGAUUUCUGAAAUCAUCGAUUAUUAAAUAUUUUCGAAUGUAAUUCACAACCAGAGGACUGAACUCAGAAGCCCUCUCGAGUCUCAGUUUCUCGCUCUUAACACGAUAUGAAUAUGGUUUGGUAAGUUCAACAUCACUCAGAAGAUAUUAACCUUUGGAGUCAUAACAAGGGAAAUUUGGCAUUAAGAACAUUGGAUUAAGAGACUACAAUGCUCGUGGCCAUUCCCACAUUUUUCUAAAUGCCCAUGUCGACUAUAACUUAAGUCUCUUUGAUACAUUAUUAAAAGGGUCAAACAAAUUGUUCAAAACCGCCGAAAUGUCCAUGUGGACUAUAACUCAAUCUGUUUGAUAUAUUAUUAAAAGAAAAAAUAUUAUCUAUGUCAGUUACAUGACCUGAGGAUCAUAGAGGCCGAGCAUUGUAGUUGCUCUUCGAACAACUACAAUGCUAACGGCCAUAUCCCAUUUUUUUUAGCCUAGAAAUGUCACACCGAUCACCAGACUAUUAAAGUGUUCCUAUACAUUAUAACUCAAAUCUUUCCGAUACAUUAUUAGAAAAAAUACAUUGUCCACGUCAGUUUACAUGGAUUGAGUACUAAUUAGGCCGAACGCUUAGAAGAAGCUCUAAAGCUUCACCAACGAAAUCUAUGAAGUACGACCAAUUGACUCAAUAACUAUGUCAAGUUCUAUAAAGAAAACAAAAUAAACUACAAUACGAAGUAGGUUUAAUCACUUUACACGUUACGAAAAAAUUGAAUAUGAUGGAAACCAAAUCGCCAGAAAAGGCUUAAAAUUGAACCUAAUAAUGUAUGAUUCCCGUUCCAGGUUGAAAUCAAACGGAAAGAAACCGAAUUGAUCCAAUUAUGAAAGAAAUGAUUAAUUAUACAGUUAUUACCUUUGGCCGCGUUAAAGCUAGGAAGCAACACGGUCUUUAUAGUUCAUAUAAUAAUUCACAUGUCAAGACUUGAGCAAUGAGCAGAGUCUUUGUUUAUUUACUUUAAUCUUUAACUAAUUGCAGAGCCUUUAUCAGGCUUCCUUUCCUUGAGCAUUCCCAGUUAAGUUUAAUACUAGAUUAGAGGACAGACCUCCUAAUUAAUAGAUUAAUUGACUGACCUAGAUUACAAGUAUACUGAGUCAUGAUCAAUACAUGUUUUUCUAAACUUUUAUAUUUUUAUAAUAAAAUUAUUAUACCUUUUUUUUAAAUCAAUGAUCCUACAAGAAAAUUUCUCCUAUAAAAACAUAUAAUACCAUAAUACCAAACACAUACUAUCUGCAUGUUUAUCAGUACUAUAUCUUAUAGAAAGUAAUUCAUUUAAUCUUAUUAGAAUGGCGAUGAGGAAUGCUAUGCAUGUUUGGUUUCUAGUUUUUGGUAUGCUUUCCAUGGAAACAAUCUUAGCAUCAUCAGAGCUGGAAUCAAACAAGACGAUGGUGAAUAAUAAUAUCAAGUGCAUUGAAACAGAGAGACUUGCUCUGCUCGACAUCAAACGAGGCCUUGUUUCUACAUUGCGCGGUCUUUCUUCAUGGGGAAGCAACAAAGACGAGAAAAACUGCUGCCAGUGGAGUUCAGUAGAGUGCGACCUCAACACUGGUCAUGUUACCCAUCUUCGUCUUUCAUUCCUUAGUUAUCGUUAUGUUCAUGGUGAACCCACAGCUUCCAAUAUCAGUUCUUCUUUGCUUCUUCUUAGGAAUCUACAGUACCUCGAUCUCAGUUAUAAUAUAUUUGACAUUUCAUUUCUGAGUUCCAUUGGUUCCCUGACAAACUUGGUUCACCUUGAUCUUUCUAGUUCUCAGUUUCAAGGAGCAAUCCCAGAUGAGCUUGGGAAUCUCUCCAAGCUCAGUUAUCUCGAUUUCAGUGAUAAUAUAUUUGGCAUUUCAAUUCCGAGUUUCAUUGGUUCCCUGACAAACUUGGUUCACCUUGAUCUUUCUAGUUCUGGGUUUCAAGGAGCAAUUCCAGAUGAGCUUGGGAAUCUCUCCCAGCUUAGUUAUCUCGAUCUCUCCUAUAAUCAACUUGAAGGUAUGGUGCCAAACUCUUUCCAUAGUUUGUCCAGUUUACAAACUGUGGAUUUUACCUCAAACAAGCUCACUGGUAAUCUUCAAGAUCUCUUUUAUCUGUUGCCUAAGGCUAAGGCUACUUUACAGACAUUGUUGAUAUCUGAAAAUCAACUUACUGGUUCACUGCCUGAUAUCACAGCAUUUUCGUUCCUCACAGAAUUGAAUGUUCAGUCCAAUCAGUUAAAUGGAUUUCUACCAAAAAAAUUCGAACACAAAUCAGUUUUAGAAGCCUUGUCUUUGUCAGAUAAUCACCUCCAAGGUUCUUUACCUAAUUUCUCAGGAUUUUCAUUCUUAAAGUAUUUAAAUCUUAAUGAUAAUAAAUUUUCUGGGAGUCUUCCUGAUUUUGAUGGAUGUUCGGCGUUGGAAUCCUUGCAUCUUCGUGGGAAUCAAUUGACUGGAUGGGAAACUCAAUCAAUAGGACAACUCACUAAUCUUGUUCAGCUAGAUCUUUCAAGGAAUUCGAUCAACAGCACAAUCAAUGAACAUCACUUGUCGGAACUUUACAAUUUGUACCAGAUGAAUGCAUCAUUUAAUUCUUUGACAUUCAAUAUGAGUUCCGAUUGGCUCGCCCCUUUCAAACUUGACCAUCUUUCUUUGGCAUCAUGCAGGUUGGGGCCAAAAUUUCCCAUUUGGAUCCGAAAUCAAACUAAAAUUAGUAUUCUUGAUUUCUCAAGCACCCAAAUUUCAGAUACCAUUCCCAUGUGGUUCUGGGACAACUUUACCAGGAUCAGUAUAUUAGAUCUCUCUUCCAACAAAAUCAGUGGCACGUUGUCCUCCAUACCAUUACAUAUUGAUGUGAUAAAUUUGAGUUCUAAUUACUUUGAAGGACCGUUACCGCUCAUUUCACCGCUAUGUUUGGAAAUAAAUCUCUCUCAUAAUAAUUUUUCAGGAAAACUAGUAUUAUCUAAAGCUGAAGUUUUCGGUUUGAGUUUGAGGUUUCUUGAUCUUUCUCAUAAUUUAUUGUUUGGCGAGAUUCCCGAUAGUUGGAAAAACUUUGAAGAUCUCAUAUUUCUCAAUCUAGGAAAUAACAAUUUUUCGGGUAGAAUUCCUAUGUCCAUAAGGUAUCUACAUUCUCUCAAUAAAUUGAUUUUACGAAAUAACAGGUUGGAUGGAGAAUUGCCUGAGUCUUUAAGAAAUUGCACCAACCUUGGUUUUGUUGAUUUUGGUUUGAACGGCCUAUCUGGAACUGUGCCGGCAUGGAUUGGGCAAGAUCUACCGCAGUUAUAUGCUCUAGUUUUGAAAUCCAACAAAUUUUAUGGGAGCCUGCCUGAUGAUCUGUGUCAUCUCUCACAUCUUCAUUUUCUAGACCUGUCCAUGAACAGACUUUCAGGAAAUGUUCCUCAAUGCUUCAGCAGUCUCAUUGCUAUGACUAAUAAUGGAACUAGAACAAAAGAUCAUCACAACAAUCGUAUACUUUCAGCGUCUCCAUAUAGUAAUUCUCCAUAUCAUAGCGGAUGUUCAGCAAUAACCCGUUGUAGGAGAAAUGGCGGUGAUUCUUCAUAUCUGGAUGAAGCAUUCGCAGGUUGGAAAGGAAAGGAACGAGAAUAUAGGGGAAAUUUCGCUUACCUUAAGAUGAUAGAUCUUUCCAGCAACAAGUUUACUGGAGGGUUUCCUACUGGAAUAACAAGGCUUCUCGAUCUCAGAGGAUUAAAUCUCUCGAGGAAUCAGUUUUAUGGAAAAGUUCCUCUACAAAUUGGUAGACUCUUUCAGUUGGAAGUUCUUGAUCUGUCUGGUAACAAAUUUUCUGGUGACAUCCCUCGAAAUAUUUCUGGUUUAACUUUUCUUGCUUAUUUAGAUCUCUCGAGCAAUAACUUUUCUGGGAGAAUCCCAUUAGGAGGUCAACUCCAGACAUUCAAUUCUUCCAUGUAUGAGGGGAAUCCUGGACUCUGUGGCUUGCCACUCACAAAAAGAUGUCCCGGAGAUGAAACAAGUGUCGAAGUUCUCCCACCAUCUAAUGGAAAUGAAGUUGAUGAAGAUGAGAUUUUAUAUGAGAGAUGGUUAUAUAUAAGUGCAGCACUUGGUUUCAGCACUAGCUUCUGGGGAAUCUGUGUAACUCUACUUGUUAACAGGCGCUGGAGACAUGCAUAUUUCCUCUUCUUAACGAAGUUAAAGGAUCAGCUUUAUGUGUUGGUGGCAGUGCGCAUAGCCAGAUUGAAGGUAAGGCUCCAAGGUUGACUUGAAGGUGAAGGUAAUAUUGAUACUUCUUUUCUCUGAUUUUUUUUUUUUUAUUUAACACCAGCAGAGUAUUCACUAAGGAAAGGCCAUUUUCUUUAACUUGUGUUGACCAUCUUGUGCAUUUUUUAUAACUUCUUCAUUCUCUUCGAAGCUAACCUAAGCUUUAUAUCUGUAUUUGCUUUCACAGGGCGGCCACCGAGAGAAAAGGCCAUGUUUCAGACUUGCCUGGAGUUUAUUCUGUGGAGAUGGCCUCUACAUCUCAUUCAUUGUCGUCACCUACUAUGUAUUGGAGUGAAACAUGAACAAUAAGUUUGCAUAUGAUUUAGAUAUCUAAAGACUAAAGUAGUACUGUGUGUGUUUGUGUGCGUUUUUGGGACAGGUAUUGCAUAUUAUGAAAAUCUGUAUAGUCAUCCCAUAUUCCCAUCACUCCUAGUCUUUAAUAGUUCAAAUUUGUUAAUGUACUAUAAAUAAAUAAAUUUCUGAUUUUUUAUAAUUUAUUAUUUAAUUCAAGGAAGUGUGGUAGCUGGGUGUGUUUGAGCUCUGUCAGACGAUUACAGUUGUGUACCUUAAUUAUUUUGCUUUAGUUUUUCUAAUCAUGUGUUAAUGUUAGUUGUAUUUCCUUCUGAAAGAGGUAAAAGGAGAUUAACAGCAGUACGUGGAAUAGAGAUUCUGCAAUAUUUCCUGUUUAUUUUUGUUUGUUCAGAAAAAGGAUGUUCCAGCCAUCUUCGUAUUCACAUCUUUAUAAACUUCAUGUUGCAGAACCCAAGUCCAUACGGUGUGUUACACUUCGUACCUAAGUCAAAUUAAUAUAUUAAUAUGAUAUAUAUUAUAAAGCUAUGAACGGAUUUAGCAAGCUAUUAAUUAACUUAUGCAUAGUGCUUAUUGCAAUAUAAGCUUGUAAUUAACGUUAUCCUCCAUACAAUUAUAUAUCGAUGUGAUAAAUUUGAGUUAUAAUUACUUUGAAGGACCAUUACCUCUCAUUUCCUCAAAGUGUUCGGAACUUAAUCUAUCUCAUAAUAACUUUUCAGGAAACUAGUAUUAUCUGCUUCUGAAAUUAUGGGUUUGAGGUUUCUUGACCUUUCUCAUAACUUAUUGUUUGGUGAGCUUCCUUAUAGUUGGAAAUAUUUUGAGAAUCUCGUGUUUCUUAAUCUUGGAAAUAAUUAUUUUUGGGGUAGAAUUCCUAUGUCUAUAGGUAUCUACAUUCUCUCAUUUUAUCUCUCGCAUCUUCAUUUUCUAGACCUGUCCAUGAA